rnacentral:snoRNA from 1 species
AAAGCAGGUCUGCAAUUGCAGCUCUCCUUUGCCAGUAGAGUGCUGUCAUUAACCCUGCUGAGAGCAUGUUUCUGCUGUGGAGCUCGUUCUCCUGCUCACCAUGCUGGUGAUGAGGAAGCUCUGUAGCUGAACACUG